GACAGAGGGUGCAAACGUUGUUCGGAAUUACUGGGCAUAAAGCGAGUGUAGGCGGUUCUCAAAGUCGGAUGUGAAAGCCCCGGGCUCAACCCGGGAAGUGCACCCGAUACUGGAGAGCUAGAGUGUCGGAGAGGUUGGUGGAAUUCUCGGUGUAGAGGUGAAAUUCGUAGAUAUCGAGAGGAACACCGGUGGCGAAGGCGGCCAACUGGACGAACACUGACGCUGAGACUCGAAAGCGUGGGGAGCAAACAGG
rnacentral:rRNA from 1 species